AUCACUUUUCAAGUACGUUUCCCACAAAAUGCACCCCAAAAUAUUAUUAAAACAUUAAUAUUUUUUUUUAAAUUAAUUUUUAUUUAAUGCCCUAUGAAUGAGUGUCACUUUUAUUUAUGUGUGAAACUGAUCUCUGAUGUACAGCUUAUUGGGUCUCUGCUGUACUUUCUGAUCACUGCUAAUUUGCAUACAUCUUCGCAUGCUAAACUGAGAGAUUGUUGACACGGUGCAUGUAUGCAUGUGCUUUCUUGCCACUGUGUUUGUAUUAAACCUCCUUUCUGACUUAUUAUUAUGUAUUUAAUGUAUAUGUCCAUUCCUUUUGCAUAUGGGAAAACACCCACAUUCACGCAACUAUAGCUGAUAAUUGCUCAAGAACCACAGUGACGUGUGAAACAAAUGCAGCCUGAAACAAAGAGGAUGAAGAGCAUGAUGAUGAAUGCACUCUGGAGAUGGAAAUAUUGGAAAUGCUGCAGUGUGGUGAGGAGGGCUUUGAUUCAAUUCUAAAGAGAGCUUCCCAGAUUUCAUUAAACCUGAGACUGCAUUCUUAUGGAGAGUGUAAAAUUCUCCUCAAUGAACACAGGGACUGAGAUUCGUCUUUAUGGAUCCCAUUCUUCUCCUUCCCCCGAUUUCUUUUUUUCUUCAAUUUUCUUUUCCAUCACUGCUUUGGCAGAGCUCCAACACCUAAGCUUUUCCAUUGGCCUGCCGACUCUACACAGAGCUUUACUACAUUCCUGAGCAGGAAUAAUGCCUCCUCCUCACCUCUGUGUGCACACUACACCUUGCCGCUCAUAGGCUGUAAUAGCCUCUACAAAGACCUCCCUGGAACAGCCUCGCCCUCAUGUUGCUUUAAGCCCUUUCAGUAUUUAACCUCUCCCUCAAAGAUUGCAGCCCUCCUGCUCUGGGUCAUAUUCCUCUAUCUGUUCUCCGUAAACACUGCACACACAUACACGCGUGCACGUGGUCAGCCACAUUCUUUGUUUAUUCGAGAGGGGAUGGAGGCAUGCUGGUGGUUUGAGCACUGUAAACAAGUGUCAAACUGAUGUCUGCUGCAGUCUGGGUGAUGUCAUUCCGUGUGCGGCCCGAGCCAAGCUCAACAUUCUACGCAUGCAAGCGGUAAAGAGGGUCGUCGCACGCGGCAAUGCGCAUGACCAAAAAAAGGCAAUCCAGCAUCCAACAGUCUGCAGCAAACAUCAUUAGGCCUCAGAACUAUUGAGUAGCAGAGCAAAGGAUUGAGUUAGCUCAGACAGUCUUCAUCGAGCCUCGUAGGGUCAGAGCUCAUUCUUAGGGCCUGGCACUCCACCGCCUCCGCUGCUGGUCUUUGUCUUCUACCCUUCAUUCCUAUGUAGGUUCUUCUUUCCUUCUUCUUUACUUUGUAUCUCUCUUUUCCACACAAAAGAAAAGAGAAGAGAAAUCGUUACCCCGCAUAGCAGAAUGAUUCAUUUUAGUUGAUGCUGUGGCAGUAUGCAGCUUUUUUUUAAAUCAAUGGCUAACUGUGAGCACAGGUUAACGGUUGAGGGAUGCAAAUGGAGUCAAGAAGCGUUUUGGAGGAAAGGCUGGCGGGGGGAUAUGCGCUUGGUAGGAAAAAGGACCUGGUUGGUUUUGCUCUGCUUUACAAGGCUGCUGUUGAAUUUAAUGCAGUUAAUGGACUUUUAACAGAUGACCUCAAUAUCCACCUAGCUAGCCAUAUCUCCGUCAUGUAUCCAUCCAUCUAUCUGUCCAUCUAUCCCUCAUCUAUCCGUCCAUCUAUCCGUCCAUCUAUCCGUCAUUCUAUUCGUCCAUCUAUCCGUCAUCUAUCCCUCCAUCUAUCCAUCCAUCCAUUCGUCCAUUCCUUUUUUCUCCCAAUUUGGAGAAACAUUCAACGUGCACAGGCAAAUAUAUUUACAUGCAAAUGCUUGUCAGCACCGUGUGCAAAUUAAUAGUUCAGGCACAAUGCGGCAAAUCCCAAACACACAUGCUCUUGGGAAUUCCAAUCUGAAAUAAAUCACUGUUUAAUUUUUCGUUCUUGUUGUUUAUCCAUCCAAAACAGAUGCAUGUGUUGAUUAUUUGUUUGGUCAUGCAUAUUCAACCACAGAGAAGGAAGGAAAUGAUGUGUGGCAGAAAUUGAUCAAAUCUCAGAGUUUGCCCAGUGAAGAAAUAAAGGUCAUUAAAAUUACUGGAAUUAAAGAUGAAAUUUGGUGUACAUUAUAUACGAACAGUAAAUACUUACAUUAUAUACAUAUAUCAUGCAGCACAAAUAUUGUAUUAAUAAGAAAUGAAUGCAGGGAUCACGUUGUUAUUAACAGCCCUGUGAAGGAAUAAUUUACUGGUUGAUAUUGAAUAUUCAAAUCCCACUGCCUCCACCAAGCAGCUUUUGCUCAUGAUUUCAGCAUCUCUCAUUUUCUCUAUAAGUCUCUUCAAGACGCACAAUAAAUCACAGCUUUCCUAACAGCACCCUCUGUACAAAGUGUUUUCACUUAUUUUAAUCAAUAAUGAGCUGAGCAACGUGCAAAGAUUUCCCUGGGCAGUAUGGGUAGUGUAGUCCCUGAGAGUCUCUGUCUCAGUGUAUAGGUCUGUGCUCCAUGUCGGGGUACUAAGGGGAUUGGACAUGCUCUGCUAAUGCUAUUAGAGCUGCAGCUUGGGAUUACUGUCUUUAAAGGAAAGGGGAAAAAGGCGUGAGAAUUUAAAAAUGACUUUGUUGAGGGGUAUACGUGUUUGUCCAUAUGUAUACGUGUUUGUCAGAGAGAUUUGGAUAUUUGUACAGUGUUACAUGCAUGUAUACAGGGGAGAUCAAAAAGGGGUGUUCAUACACAGUAUUGCACGCUAACAGAACUACCAAGUCACUAGUACUAAUGCAGAGAGUUUUGUGAGUUGUUUUUAAAAUUUAAUUUGGGCCCUCUAGGUGCUUCUGUGAUUUGAGUUAAUUAGUGUACUAAUAUGGCCGGUGCAUAUUUUUUUUUAGCCAAAGAUAUAGAUUUCUUGAUAAGUGCUUUUUCAGGUCCAAAGGAUAAAGGACAAACAUUUUGAGGCAGCAGUGUGAUCAAUUUAGAGGGAACUGCUAAGAACAUUGUUGUUGAAGCACAAAGGCAUGCUAAAUUUAGUUUUUACAUUUCCACCUGUGCGACAACUUUGUCCUCCCUUAGUCAGUGUUGAUAUUACACAGCUUGGAGGAGAUCUUUGUAUUGCGAAGCAAAGAAUACUGUGCAGCGGUACAUUGCUUGAGAUCAAUAGGAAAAUGAGAACCAUUGUCACCUAAGAUAAGAAAAGCAAUGCAACACAGCCUGACAGCACAACCGAGUUUCAGAAGGUCAGCAUCUUGUUUUUUUGUGAGCUUAAGGAUUCUUCAUCUAUCCCUCCUGUAAAAUAUCACAUGGAAGACAGGCAGGAAUAUUACAGUAUAUAUAUACUGCCUCCACCAACCAUCAUUUUAUAUAUAUAUAUAUAUACAACAAGCUGCUGAAAAGGGUGUGUGCCUUUAGGGGAGGACGCUCAGACUUUGAAUUAUAAGAUAAAAAUAGUAUGUUCUAAAUCAUUAAACAUCAUCAUCUGGCAAGAAAUAUGGCCAUUUGAAUACGCAGAGUGUGUGUGUGUUGAGGGCUGACAUUCACCACAGGCAAUAUUAAUUCAUGAGGCAUUUGUUUGUUCAAUCAAACAGAAGGUCUCAAUUUCAUAUUGCCCGGGGGCUGCUGCAGGUGAUGUUUUGGGGGUUUCUCACCGCAACAAAAGUAACUGUUGGAUUUUACCAGUCAAACUUUUGGUAGAAGAACAAGCAGAAGACAUGACAUCAGGAAUCUAAGGAAUCUGCUCCACCAAAAGUGAUAGCUGUGUUGCAUAAUCUCGAUUUGAUCAUUCAUCUCCAUAUAAAAGCAGUGUUUAGUUGUUUUUUUGCAUUAGUAGGAUACCAUACUUGCCAAGUAAUUAAAAAACGUAUGUGCAUGUCUUCCACCAAAUCAGUUUUGUUCUGUAAAUGUUCAAACUACUAGAAACGAUAUGAAAACCAAUGUGUCAAUGUCUUUUUCACCACUAUCCCACAAUUCCUCUCUCUCUCUGUCUCUGUCUCUCUUCUUCAGGCCUCUCUGAUAAUCAUUAUCCAGGCUUAUCACACACUUACGCAUCUUUCAGCUGGAUUUUUGUUAUGAAUAUUUACCAACUGUAAGUCACUGAGGGCAAUCUGCUGAGAACUGUUAACUCCCACCCUGUUCCAUGCGUAUGCAUGAUUUUGUCUGUAGGCUUCUCUCUGCAUGCGUGUGUUUAAUAUUUAUCGGUACUCUCCUUUAGGCUUGGUCAGGCAUUUCAGUGAAACCCAAGAGUAAUGUUAUCAGAGAUGUCAACACCUCUCCCACGUACACAGCCUGACCGGUAGAUUAAUAUGCAAAGUGUUUUGUCAUUCUCAUAUCAUCACGUAUCAUUCAUGUUUGUGGGGUUUUGAGGUUUAGAAAAAUUAAUUAAUCAAUAGAUAGUACAAGCUCUUUUUGCAAUGUUGGCUUACUGACUGAACUCAAAAAACAUAUACAUAUAUUUAUUAGGAGCAACGGUUUUAAACUGGUUGUCAAACUGAUGUUAAGUGUAUUCGACUGAACACAUUUAACCGAAGCAAACCGAGGUUUUAGGAUGGCUUUCUGAUUCGCCAACACCUUUCAUCCCACAGAUUCCCAUUACGUAAAGAAUUCUGUUCAUAUAAUGCAGCGUGCACUGUGUGUAUUUUAUGUAUCUACAGGACUACAAUAAAUGAACAGUAUCAGAACAAGGCAGGAGCCUACAGUACUGGUAGAAAGUCCAAAUCCAAACCAACAGCAGCUGGACCACCAUCAUUAUACAAAACCCAAAUCAAUGGUCACUGCGCUUUAGGGGAGCUGCCAUGUUGUUGACAAAUAGUUCCAAUCAGCGGUGAACCGUGUGUGUGAAGUGGGUAGUUUUAAUGUCUCUAAUGAAUAGAUGUGGCACACUUGUGGACACCUGCUGUUGCCAUUAGUCCCAAAGCGCACACUAAUCAAGGUGGCUUUCAAAUCCGUGCAGGUUAUUCACUGUGCCCAACCUCAAGGACCCUUACAAGGAGCACAUGAUAGCCUCUCCAGUUAUAUGCUUCUUCCACAGGCCAAAAAAAAACGCCACAAAAAAAGUCCCUUUUAUUCAUUCAAUGCAGGUUUCUCUCAAGCAGAGCGUUGGAUGCCUGGAGGAGCAGUUGAACUUAAUGGCUCAUUCUCUGCAGAUUUGAAUAAUAAAGUAGAACAGGAAGUCUGAAAAAAAAAAAAAACCUGCAAAGGAAAAACAAGCCACAUAUCACAAAAUAUUGCCUGCCACCUUGUCCACACCUUACUUUGCUCCUUUUCCCUUUUGGUGCCACGCUCACUGCUUUCAAUCAUCCUCAUAAAAAUUUCAACAAUCAAUGUUCAGUGAAUCCCAGUUCCUACCUGUUCCCAUGGCUACUGGGAGGACAGAGAUUUUAAACUAGUGUGGACUCCAGUGGCAUUGUAGUACCACUCAUCUUGGUGUAAGUAUCAACAGUAUCACAGGGGUUUAAGGUCAGUUAUUGUUUUGUAGCAGCGUGGGGGGAAUGGAAGACCGAGGAGAAGAGACAGCUGUAAGAAAAAAAACCCAAGAAUGCCAGGUGGUUAAAGGUGAAGUGUUGGGCGUUACCAGUGCAAGGGUUGCGGCAAGACUCAGCUGUGAGCCGCUGAUUUACAGGGCCGGAAGAAAAAACACAGCCUUACACCCACCACGUCGCCACGGGAGAGGGUUGAGAGGAGGUCCCGUCCCCUUUUCUCCUAGGCCUCAUCGUCAUUCUCUCUCCAUCAUAUUACUCAUCCUUCUGUCUCUCUCUCUCUCUUUCCCUCUGCCUUUCUCUGUCACUUUUUCUACCAAUCAACUUUCCAUUUCUGAGCUCUUAUUAUCAUCCUGAUUUAGCCGCUAAAACCAACCUCCAUGAAGGUGAAUAAUGAUGAAAAUUGAAAUAAUUACUCAAGUGGGCGGAGUCAGCCUCUCUUUCUGUCUGCAAACAUACACGUGCACACAUUUCCCAUUCGUUGUAUGGCUCAGUGCAGCUGUACCUUCCUUGUUGCUCUGUGUGACUGAAAUGUGUGUUAUCAAAAGGAUGCAGGGUUUAGUGCACCAGCACAAUGGAGAGUAGGAAAGAAACCAAACAGAGGAACCAACGCCUGCUGGCAGGAACUACACAGAAUCAAAGACAAGUAUAGAGAUGCAUGUGCGUACACACACUCAGUUGCACUGACAAUACACAAGCAUCUUUUUAUCUUUUUAUCUAGAGGGCAGACGCAGUAGUUAGUGACUGCAAGUGUUUCUUCUCAUUUUUCUGAUUAGUUCAGUCACAAAAUGCUAAAAAGACAUUAUAUGUAUAUUAUAGUUAACUUUUUCAGUAUUUCGCCAGAAUACAUUGGGCUAGAGGCUAUGGAGCUACAGGAGCGAGAGGGUUUUGGAGAGAGAGAGAGAGAGAGAGAGAGAGUCUGUUGCUAGGGCAACCAGAGCCGCGGUGCUCGUCAUCAUGAGGCUUCUUCUGUAUUCUGUGUGUGUGUGUGUGGACACGGCUCUUGUGAGCUCACCCUCCUCUCUCCAGACAGGAGGCGAGGACAUCCCUCUCCAGCACUGUGCCAACAGAGAGAGAGAGAGAGAGAAGAGAGAGAAGCCCCAUAAUGCACUGCACGCUGCAGGGCUGAAGUCGUGCAGAUUCAUCAGUUCCUGUUCGGGUUAGGGAAGGAUAGUGUGUGAGCGUACACACACACACACACACACACACACACACACACACACUCGUACACCCAGAUCGAGCGUGGCUGAAACACACAGACAACCGGGCAGGUAAGGCAGCUUUUCUCUGACCGUGGCGACAGCGACUGACUUUACAAGAUGAUCUGUGAUUCUGUGUAUCUGUCCGGUGCUGCCGGUGCUUGAUAGGAGGGGGAUAGGAGAGGGGAGAGAUGCCCCCAAGAGAUGACAGGGUGUCAUUAACACAUCUGACAUGUUGUGAUUCCGACAACUUCUCUGCCUGUUGCUGCUGGUUUUUCUUACUCAGAAGUUUGGGAUUGUUGAAAAGUAUAGGAUAGAUUUGAAAUAUCUUAUAUAAAUGUGUAGCGUUUUGUUUUUGUUGCAGAGGUUCUAUCCCCUGCAGCUUGCAGACAGUGUUUAACUGUAGCUGAUUUGAAUAUGCUGAAAAAGGUUUUUGCAUGGAUAUCGGGAUCACACUCUCAUUGCGAUGACUGUUUGUACCUUUCCAUGAACAUUGGGGACAGUACAGCCUCUUGGGUUAUAGAGUUAGUUAAAAAUGCCCUUACGUUCUUCCUAAAAUAUUCAAAUGAGAGCAUUAGAAACUCAACAGUGAUAUAGAAUGUUUCACUUACAUGUUUAAUCUCUAAAUGAAAAGGGUAAUGUUGCGUUACUUGGUCGGACAUUUUUCAAGUAAAAGUUGUAUUACUAAAGGAAUUGUAUGCUACAUGUUGUGCCCAGUGACACAAGUGCCAGCUGAUUGGUGGUUCAAAGCGUGUCCACUCCUCUAUGGGUCAGUUUGUGGUUUAACGGCCGUUGAGAAUGGUGACCAUAUCUGCUGCGCCAGAGACACAGACGGGCUGGAAAAUGCGAUUGCGAGAUCUUGAAGCCGGGACUCUUAAACUUCAUUACCCCAAAACUGCGAUAGGAAGUUUCCAUCCACCACCCAUGGGACGCUAUCAUGACAUCAUGUUUCAACUGUCAUGUGGAGACACAGUGGUAGAUUGUAAUGAGGGCCAAGAGUGAGAAAUUGGUUGCAAAUAAAACUCAAUGAUUUCUUAAUUAAACCUUCCUUUCAAAAGGUCAUCAUUUACAUAUCUGUAGAAAUCCCUGAAGGAAACGUUUUAACACACGUCGCAAUGUAAUUUUCAUAAUCUUAUUUAUAUGACCGUUAAGUCUCACAAAAGCUCCAAGACAGUUUUACUUGUGUGUCUUUAUUCUUACUUACUUACUAACACUAACAAACUGUGCAAAGUGCUUUUGCUCUUCGGGAAAUGAAAUGCCUAAAAGCCUUAAUGCAGAUCAGACUAUUUUUUUAUAUUCAGUUUGUCUCCAUAGGUCUGAGAGAGCACAGCUUCCAUCUGCACAAAUCCAAACGUCAGAAUGGAGAGGCUCCUCUUUUUCAUUAUGGCGCCUUUCGUUACCAGCUACCCUUCAUGUUGUAGCAUAAAACAAUUAUCCAGCAGACGCCUCACCGACAGAAGCAUCUAUAUCUCUGCCUCGGCUCAGUAAUAAUUCAGUGUUGGAGUUCAAGAGACUCAAAGCUAUGUCUCUUUGGUCAUCUGGGUGUAUACGGUUUUCUUUAAAGGGAGUAUUUUGGUUCAGGAUGCAGCUGGAAAAGAAAUAGUACUAUAAUAAUCCUAUAAUAGUGUAGAAGGAUUUCUGUUAAUCUAAAAAGUAAAAGUUGGCAUAGCUCAUUCACUAGUGCGUUUAGAAGCUUUUUGAGCGAUGGCCAUUCACAUUUAGCACUACUGGUCUGUUAUAGAGCUCUGUGUUGACAGAUUUCCACACUUUCCACUGAGGUCACAUCUCGGGAACACAGAGCUGCUCAGACCAAGAAGAACAGAUUCAGAAACUAUGCAAAUUGCCAGUUUUAGCUUGACUAAAGUACCGGUACUACAAACGCAUCCGUUGUUUGAAGAUCAUCUGUUUCAUCAUUGUACCUUGAGUUCUCAACAGUAAAGCAGCGGUCUGAUCCGAAUGUUGAAAACCCCUCAGACUCACACUGCGUUGCUCUGCUGGAUUUUCCAUUCGGCAAGAAUCCUUCUCCAGGUUCUUUUCCCUCUUUACUUUCGCUCCAGCUCUGGCUUUGCCUGGCAACUGUAUCGAAGGUGAUACGUCGAUCCACAUCUCCUUAUUAAACUCUAAUCCCAAUUGUCUUUGUACUUUUCCCUCGAACGUUUUUCUCAUCCCUGCCAUUUAUUAUCUGGAACACAAGGGCCACAUGUUAGAGAAUCCGGGGUCUCGCUUUGACACGUCAAGAAUGAGUGAGAGACACUGGAUCGGGUGGAAAGUCCUUUUUGCUCUCUCCUUUCUGUGUACACAGGCAUCAGCAGAGCAGCAAGCGGGAGCCUUAGUGUGCAUUAAAUUAUCUGCAAUUGCAGCAAUUAUCCGCAGGUCCAAAACCUCUCACUGUGCCUGCCGGUGGAAAGUAAAAUUUACUCAAUUACCUAGGUAGAAUUCUAAAGUAGGCCUACCCGUUAUUUACUUAAAUAUUUCCAUUUAAUACUACUCUGCGCUUCAAACCUCAAGUCUCAAGGGGAACAAGUACUCUGCAUUUUCAUUUUUAAAAAGCAUACAGAAUUAAUUUACAGCAUAAUGCAAACAAAAUUGGACUGCAGAAGUAGUUUAAAUUGGUUUUGGCUACACCUAGAUAUCGGAAAUGUUUCUUAGAAAGAAUAUAGAUAUAUAUAUAUUAAAAAAAAUAAUAUUCCAAUUAAAUGAAAUUCUAUAUGCAUAAAACAUAGUGAGGAACUCUGAAGUGUAUUUCAUUUUCAGCACUUUUUUUUUGACAUAAAGCGGAACUAAAAUAUCUAUUUCAAUGUCUGUGUGUAUUGUGAAACAUUUGUACAUCAUGAGUACAAACCCACGGUGAAUGAUCACCCGACCCUACAUUUCCCCCCAGCUCUACAAAGCGUUCAGCAACUUUUGGGAUUUUUUUAAACUGUUAACAGGUCUGCCAAAUAAAUUACUAUUAUCUAAAUUGCAUUAACAGCUUGUUUCUGAUCUCCAGAUGUAUCCAAGGUAUCUGUAAACGCAGGUUGAACUUUAUUUUGCUUAGUGUUUGCUUUUGACUAAAUUAAAACUGUAUAUUUGGUCUACAGUCAUAGAGAUAAAGGAUGUUACUAUUUGGAAGAAGAAGUCACAUAGAGUCAGUCUGACAAAUCCAAGAUUUCUUCAAGCCACCAAAUCUGUAGUAUUUCCUUCAGAGAAAAAACUCUGACAAAACUAAAGUUUUGCCACAGAAAAGUGCUGUUGGAUACUGCUGCGAUACAACAUGCAAACACAUGGAGACAGAACGUCUCAUUCCCCAUUCACCAGAAUCCUGGAAGACAACUGCAGAUCCUUUUUUGGUCACACGCUGUUGACUU
ensembl:lncRNA